UUGAUGCGGCUUGGCGAACGGGUGAGUAACACAUUGAUAACCUACCUCCAACACAGGCAUAACCCAGAGAAAUCUGGGAUAAUACCUGAUAGUCUAUUCUUGUUUAAUCAAGAAUAGUAAAGCUCCGGCGGUUGGAGAGGGGUCUAUGUCUGAUUAGUUUGUUGGUGAGGUAAUGGCUCACCAAGACUAUGAUCAGUAGCGGGGAUGGAAGUCUGAUCCGCCUCAUUGGAACUGAGACACUGUCCAAACUCCUACGGGAGGCUGCAGUCGAGAAUCUUCCUCAAUGCCCGAAAGGGUGAAGGAGCGACGCCGCGUGUUUGAAGACGCCCCUCGGGGUGUAAAGAACUUUUCUGAAGGACGAAGCUUCGGCAGACGGUACUUCAGGAAUAAGGAUCUCCUAAUUUCGUGCCAGCAGGAGCGGUAAUACGAAAGAUCCAAGCGUUAUCCGGAUUUACUGGGCGUAAAGCGUCCGCAGGCGGCUAAACAAGUUUUUGGUCAAAUUCCAGAGCUCAACUCUGGAGCUGCCAAAAAAACUCUUUAGCUAGAGGGUGGGAGAGGUCAUCGGAAUGGCUGGUGUAGGAGUCAAAUCCGUUAAUAUCAGCUGGAACACCAAAUGCGAAGGCAGAUGACUGGAACACACCUGACGCUCAGGGACGAAAGCGUAGGUAGCGAAGCGGAUUAGAUACCCGCGUAGUCUACGCCGUAAACGAUGGAUACUUGACAUUGGUAGUUUCGACCCUAUCAGUGUCGCUCUAAACAAGCUAACGCCUUAAGUAUCCCGCCUGGGUAGUACGAGCGCAAGCUUAAAACUCAAAGGAAUAGACGGGGAGCUGCACAAGCGGUGGAGCAUGUGGUUUAAUUCGAUAUUAAGCGAGGAACUUUACCAGGACUUGACAUCCUACCUAUGUCUGACCUUAACCGGACAGUCUUAGUGGUAGUGACAGGUGCUGCAUGGUUGUCGUCAGCAUGUGUUGUGAAAUGCACCGUUAACUCGGGUAACAUGCGCAACCCUCAUCUUGUAUUAUUUUUCUACAAGAAACUGCCUCCGAUAAGGAGGAGGAAGGUGGGGAUGACGUCAAAUCAGCAUGGUCCCUACGUCCUGGGCUACACACGUGCUACAAUGGCUGCUACAAUGGGUUGCCAAGCUGCAAAGCGGAGCUAAUCCCAUCAAAGGCAGUCUCAGUUCGGAUCGAGGGCUGCAACUCGCCCUCGUGAAGUUGGAAUCGCUAGUAAACGCGGAUCAGCCUCGCCGCGUUGAAUACGUUCUCAGCUCUUGUACUCACCGCCCGUCAUGCCAAGGGAGCCGGUAAUACCCAAACUCCGAUGAUUAUCGGGGAAAGGUAGGACUGGUAACAAGGGUAAAGUCGUAACAAGGCACCCGUAGCGGAAGCUG
rnacentral:rRNA from 1 species